rnacentral:rRNA from 1 species
GAUGAACGCUGGCGGCGUGCUUAACACAUGCAAGUCGAACGGGAAAUAUUUCAUUGAGACUUCGGUGGAUUUGAUCUAUUUCUAGUGGCGGACGGGUGAGUAACGCGUGGGUAACCUGCCUUAUACAGGGGGAUAACAGUCAGAAAUGGCUGCUAAUACCGCAUAAGCGCACAGAGCUGCAUGGCUCAGUGUGAAAAACUCCGGUGGUAUAAGAUGGACCCGCGUUGGAUUAGCUGGUUGGUGGGGUAACGGCCCACCAAGGCGACGAUCCAUAGCCGGCCUGAGAGGGUGAACGGCCACAUUGGGACCGAGACACGGCCCAGACUCCUACGGGAGGCAGCAGUGGGGAAUAUUGCACAAUGGGGGAAACCCUGAUGCAGCGACGCCGCGUGAAGGAAGAAGUAUCUCGGUAUGUAAACUUCUAUCAGCAGGGAAGAUAGUGACGGUAC